AUUUUGCCAGUAUAACAGUUCUUUUAAUAUAUUUAUAAAAUAAUGUUGUGUCUUUCUUUUCUUUUUCUUUUUUUUUUUUUUGAGAGAUAGGUAGCACGCUACCCGCUUCGUUUAUUUCAUUUAGAAAUAAGCUUAGCAAGAAAUGUAAAUCAACUAGGAUUCGAACUCGGGUCUCGGGUACCAACCACCAAACCCCUUGCCACUUUCUCUUGGGACGGUCGAUAAUAAUGUUGUGUCUUAGAACAGAAUUAAACAGAAUAUAAGUCUUUUUUGAAUGUCAAAUAAAGAUACUUUGGUUCUAUUCCAUAAUAAGAGUUUAAAACAAUAAUA
rnacentral:lncRNA from 1 species